UGGGGAAUUUUGGACAAUGGGCGCAAGCCUGAUCCAGCCAUGCCGCGUGCAGGAUGAAGGCCUUCGGGUUGUAAACUGCUUUUGUACGGAACGAAAAGACUUCUUCUAAUAAAGGGGGUCUAUGACGGUACCGUAAGAAUAAGCACCGGCUAACUACGUGCCAGCAGCCGCGGUAAUACGUAUGGUGCGCGCGUUAAUCGGAAUUACUGGGCGUAAAGCGUGCGCAGGCGGUUAUAUAAGACAGAUGUGAAAUCCCCGGGCUCAACCUGGGAACUGCCUUUGUGACUGCAUAGCUAGAGUACGGUAGAGGGGGAUGGAAUUCCGCGUGUAGCAGUGAAAUGCGUAGAUAUGCGGAGGAACACCGAUGGCGAAGGCAGCUUACUAUGGUUUUAUUGACGCUGAGGCACGAAAGCGUGGGGAUCAAACA
rnacentral:rRNA from 1 species